GUCAAGUCUUCAUCACUUUUAUCAGACUUUUCUUCAGCCUCAGAGACUUCACUUUGCUUCUUCUUCUUCUUCUUCUUCCUUCUCUUCUUUGCGUCUUUGGUAGAGUUCAAGCCGUUUUCUUCAGUCUCUGAAUCCUCACUUUGUUUCUUUUUCUUCCUU
rnacentral:sRNA from 1 species